rnacentral:lncRNA from 1 species
CAGAACAGCAUAAAAUAAGCAGAAUUACAGAUUUGAUUAUCGAACUCUGUUGGAGAAGUCCUGUAUCUUACUGGGCAAAUUGCCCUGGUACCUUCCACAAUGAAAUUUGUUCGUGGUGGAAUACAAACAAAAGCUACUCUGUCCUUAAGCCAUACCCUGAAAAUCCUGGAAGCAACACAUGGAGGCACCGGACUUCAGCACACUUUCAUGGCUCACUGUUAUGAAAUGUUAUGUUAAUGAACAGCCAGCUCACUUCCACUGCUCUGGAUACCUGGCAGAACUUAAAGACCCAUUAAAAGAAAGAACAUAUUGCAGAAAAACAGAAUACGUAUUUUAAUCAAUAAUCUACAGAAGAAAAGAAAUGAAGAUAUAAUUAAUCAUAAGGUUAGUGUUAUUUACCUAUACUUAGAAAUCAACAAAACUCUUUGCCUCAGAAUCCUUAAAAUUCAAAGUUCAUACCAAGAAAAAAAUGUAAGAGACAAACCAAAAUUGACUUAAAACAGCAUGCAGUGAUUAUGAAAAAAGCCUUUUUUUAGUGCUUUAAAAAAAUGUAAACCAUUUUAGUCAGGUCUUAGCUAAGCUAAUAACUCAAUUCCUGAAGCUCUUGGUUUAUUAGUAUUGUACACCUAGGCCAGAUUAAGACUUGUGAAAAUUUUCCAUUUAUUGCCACUUAUUUGAAAUAAAUUGACUUGGAUUUUUGAGAGAAGAGAGACAGAGAGAAAACGCCUCCUAAGAGGUAAAAAGUUAUCUAACAAAAGAUAGCUUUUCCAUAAAAUACCAUGCAUUUACUGGAAGUAACAGAAAGUAAUGCUUUUUGGAAAAUGGUCCCCAAAAUAAGAAAAAAUUAAAAUAAAGAUGCCAGGUGUGGUGGCUCAUACCUGUAAUCCCAGCACUUUGGG